rnacentral:rRNA from 1 species
UGGGGAAUAUUGGUCAAUGGGCGAAAGCCUGAACCAGCAAUGCCGCGUGAGUGAUGAAGGCCUUAGGGUUGUAAAGCUCUGUCAGGGGGAAAGAAAAAGCCGGUUAAUACCCGGUGUUGACGGUACCCCCAAAGGAAGCACCGGCUAACUCUGUGCCAGCAGCCGCGGUAAUACAGAGGGUGCAAGCGUUGUUCGGAAUUACUGGGCGUAAAGCGAGUGUAGGCGGCUUAUUAAGUCAGAUGUGAAAUCCCUUGGCUCAACCGAGGAACUGCAUCUGAUACUGGUAAGCUUGAGUGUCGGAGGGGAUGGUAGAAUUCCUGGUGUAGAGGUGAAAUUCGUAGAUAUCAGGAGGAAUACCUGUGGCGAAGGCGACCAUCUGGAAGACAACUGACGCUGAGACUCGAAAGCGUGGGUAGCAAACAGG